AAACUUAAAGAUUUUGGCGGUGUCUUAUCAGCCCAGGGGAACCUGUCUCAUAACUCGAUAACCCACGACAUCCUCACCCUUCCUAGACCUAACAGCUUGUGUACUGCCGUCGUAAGCACACCUCUAAAAGUUAAUAAGUGUGCAGCAAUGAUUAACUCAUAUACGUCAGGUCAAAGUGC
rnacentral:rRNA from 1 species